UGGGAAUAUUGCACAAUGGGCGAAAGCCUGAUGCAGCAACGCCGCGUGAGUGAUGAAGGCCUUCGGGUUGUAAAGCUCUGUCUUUUGGGACGAUAAUGACGGUACCAAAGGAGGAAGCCACGGCUAACUACGUGCCAGCAGCCGCGGUAAUACGUAGGUGGCAAGCGUUGUCCGGAUUUACUGGGCGUAAAGGAUGCGUAGGCGGAUUUUUAAGUGAGAUGUGAAAUACCCGGGCUUAACUUGGGUGCUGCAUUUCAAACUGGGAAUCUAGAGUGCGGGAGAGGAGAAUGGAAUUCCUAGUGUAGCGGUGAAAUGCGUAGAGAUUAGGAAGAACACCAGUGGCGAAGGCGAUUCUCUGGACCUAACAUGCGCUGAGGCAUGAAAGCGUGGGUAGCAAACAGGAUUAGAUACCCUGGUAGUCCACGCCGUAAACGAUGAGUACUAGGUGUAGGAGGUAUCGACCCCUUCUGUGCCGCAGUUAACACAAUAAGUACUCCGCCUGGGAAGUACGAUCGCAAGAUUAAAACUUAAAGGAAUUGACGGGGUCAUAGCUGUUUCCU
rnacentral:rRNA from 1 species